AAAUACAGUGUAGUUGAAGAUAUAUGCAAUUGAAAAUAUAGUAAUUGUACUCACAUGCAUCAUGUUUGGUUGGAUGUAGUAGAAAGCGCUGCAGCUAUAAAUAGUUUGUUUGGUUACAUAUAAUUGAAAAAUAAUUUUUAGAAUUUUAUCAUUUCAUAUAUAUGAUCGUGUGAUUGUCUCCUAUACAAAAAAAAAGAAAAAUAUUUUUUAUUUAAAAAAUAAUUAAGGAGGUAAGUAUAUUUUUUGUUUAAAGUUAUUCUUUUCAACUGCUACAGUUGGAUCUCUUCCCGCAGUUCUUACUACAAGAGUUGGAGUUAAAUACACUAAGCCAAAUACCGAAUUUGUAUUUGUAUGUAGUUAUAACUACAUUACAAUUACAACUGCAUAUAACCAAACAGUCCGUAGUGAAACGACCAACUGUGAGUAUUCUAUUUCUAAAAGAAAUCCACAAUAAA
rnacentral:lncRNA from 1 species